CUAAGCGUACACGGUGGAUGCCCUGGCAGUCAGAGGCGAUGAAGGGCGUGCUAAUCUGCGAUAAGCGCCGGUAAGGUGAUAUGAACCGUUAUAACCGGCGAUACCCGAAUGGGGAAACCCAGUGUGAUUCGUCACACUAUCAUUAACUGAAUCCAUAGGUUAAUGAGGCGAACCGGGGGAACUGAAACAUCUAAGUACCCCGAGGAAAAGAAAUCAACCGAGAUUCCCCCAGUAGCGGCGAGCGAACGGGGAGGAGCCCAGAGCCUGAAUCAGCAUGUGUGUUAGUGGAAGCGUCUGGAAAGGCGCGCGAUACAGGGUGACAGCCCCGUACACAAAAGCGCAUGUGCUGUGAGCUCGAUGAGUAGGGCGGGACACGUGGUAUCCUGUCUGAAUAUGGGGGGACCAUCCUCCAAGGCUAAAUACUCCUGACUGACCGAUAGUGAACCAGUACCGUGAGGGAAAGGCGAAAAGAACCCCGGCGAGGGGAGUGAAAAAGAACCUGAAACCGU
rnacentral:rRNA from 1 species